rnacentral:piRNA from 1 species
UUGGCGACUGCGGCAUAUGCAGUGAACACA